CGCUUAAACCGCCAUUGCACUCACACUGUCAGUUUCACGACAACACUGUUUUGUUGCUUCAGCAUACCUGUCCGCCACGUGGCACUGCCAUCGCUUUCUCCCGAAUCUUCAAAACAUGGGCCACGUGGCAUUCCUCAAUCUUCCUCCUCCCUUAUUGCUUUACCAAAAAUAUUCUGCAAACUGUAUCCAUAAUUUUAAUUUUGCGUGCAGUAACCAACUUUACCAUUUUCCCUUUCCAAUUAAUUCAAGUUUUCCCCCGAUUUAUUUUAUUUUAUUUCAUUUUAAUUUUAGGGUUUUUGAUUUUCUGUCUCGUCCUUUUCUCUUCGACAAUUGAUGAUUUUUUUUUUCUUUUUCUCUUUCCCUUUCCGGUUGUUCAUGUAAAGGUGAAGCAAACGCGUGUCAGUGGCAGAUAAGCUAUUGACACGAUUUCAAUCAUUAUUUUUGUUUCGCCUUUUAAUCCCUCGUUUCAUUUUGAUUGCUUUUGAUUUCUUUCUGGUUCCGUGAAUUCUUGUUUGGACUGGAAGAGUUUUUAAUAGGUAACGUUUCUUAAUCUUUUUCAUCCCUUCCUUCUGCUAUUUUUAUUGUUAUUUUCAUUCCGGGUUUUGUAUAUGCUGAUUGGUUCUUCUUUGCAAAUGCAUACUUUUUCAAAUGUAGAGUGGGGGGGAAGUGAAGAAAGUUAUCAUUAUUUGUUAUAUAGUUGGUGGUGUUUGCAGAAGAAUAAAUUUGACUGAAGGCAAAUGUGAUGUCAGAAUUGAUGAUGGCCGUUUUGAGUAUGAUUAAGCUUUGUUAGAAUUAGGAACAGCUUGGUGUCAUUUUAGAAUUAGACACGGACUAAUGUGGAAAUUUUGGGAGUCAAUUUUGGAGUUUUAUUGGUUCUGCGCUUCUUGGUUUGCAUUUAAUUUAUAAAAGCAUUUGCUUCAAAAGUAGAAAUCUUUGUUGGGCAUCUAUUUUGUUCGAGUAUAUACUUUGACAAGUGUCGGGUUUUCUUUUUUGAGUAUACUGCAUCAAAUAGGUGAUUAAAUUUUUGUACGUUUAUUACCAUCAAUAUAAUCUUCUGUGUCUAUUAUCCGCUUUGUGCAUUGAAAUUUAUAUGAUUGCAGAUACAGUUGAGGCAGAUGGACAUUGCUGCUUUUUUAACUUCAGCUGGGAUUAAUAUAGGUUUAUGCGUGGUACUUUUUUCCUUGUAUUCAAUACUGAGAAAACAACCGAGCAACAGGGUUGUGUAUUUUGGCCGGAGGCUUGCUUCAGUACGCAUAAGGAAUGAUGAUUUCUUUUCCAUUGAGAGAUUUGUGCCCUCUCCAAGUUGGAUAGUGAAGGCUUGGGAAACAACUGAAGAAGAAAUAUUGUCCAUUGGCGGCCUUGAUGCAUUAGCUUUUCAAAGGAUGCUCAUCUUCAGUAUCCGUAUCUUUUCCAUUGCUGCGAUCAUUUGCGUUCUUCUAGUGCUUCCAAUGAAUUAUUAUGGCAAAGAAAUGCAACACAAGCGAAUCCCAGCGGAGUCACUGGAUGUAUUUACAAUAGGGAAUGUCAAAGAAGGUUCUAGAUGGCUUUGGGCUCAUUGUCUUGCUUUAUACGUCAUUUCUUUCGGGGCCUGUGUUCUCCUUUACUUUGAGUAUAAAAGCAUUACUGAAAUGAGACUAGCACAUGUAAUCAAAUCUCCGCUGAAUCCAAGUCAUUUUACCAUUCUGGUCCGUUCAAUACCGUGGUCUCCAGGAGAAUCAUAUAGUGAUUCAGUGAAGAAAUUCUUCACAAAUUAUUACCCAUCAAGCUACUUGUCACACCAAAUGGUGUAUCAACGUGGCAUUAUUCAGAAAUUAAUGGUGGAUGCGGAGAAAAUGUGCAAAAUGAUUAUUCCUGUUCAUAUUGAUGGAAGAAGUUUAAGACCGUGUUGUCUUUGUGCAAGAAAUACAACUUCUUUUAAGAUGCUCUCUAGUGAACCAGAAAGUGUCAAGGAUAGCGUCAGCUACGCUGAUCUGGAUAUACCUACAAGAGAAAAUGAGUGUUCUGCUGCUUUUGUAUUUUUCAAGACUCGCUAUGCUGCUGUGGUUGCCACACAGAUGCUUCAAUCAUCAAAUCCCAUGUUGUGGGUCACAGAAUUGGCCCCAGAACCACAUGAUGUUUUCUGGUCAAACCUCUCUAUACCGUAUAGACAGCUUUGGCUGCGCAAGAUAGCAAUACUAUUAGCUGCUAUAGUCUUCAUGUUUUUGUUUCUUAUUCCUGUGACAUUUGUGCAAGGCUUGACUCAACUAGAUAAGCUAUCAAAAACAUUCCCAUUUCUAAGAGGACUUUUAAAAAAGGACUUCAUGAGCCAUGUGGUAACAGGUUACUUACCAAGUGUCAUCUUAAUGUUGUUUCUGUAUACUGUUCCACCGAUGAUGAUGUUAUUCUCAUCAGUGGAGGGGCAUGUUUCUCGUAGUGGAAGGAAAAGGAGUGCAGGCUUGAAAAUUUUGUACUUCACAAUUUGGAAUGUUUUUUUUGUUAAUGUUCUCUCAGGCUCCAUUAUUAGUCAAUUAAAUGUGUUCUCUAGUGUAAGGGACAUACCCAUGGAACUUGCCAAAGCGAUACCUAUUCAGGCUAGCUUCUUCAUGACUUACGUUUUAACAUCAGGUUGGGCAAGUUUGGCCUGUGAAGUAAUGCAACUGUUUCCUCUUAGCAUCAACAUGUUCAAAAAGUUCAUUCUAAGAAACCAAGAAGAUUCGUCUGAUGACCUCAUAUCCUUUCCAUACCAUACAGAAGUUCCUAGGGUCCUAUUGUUUGGUCUAAUUGGCUUCACCUGUUCGAUCAUGGCACCCUUAAUAUUGCCCUUUCUGCUAAUUCACUUUUUCAUGGCUUACCUUGUAUACCGUAACCAGAUUCUCAAUGUAUACAUACCAAAAUACGAAGGUGGAGGGCACUUUUGGCCUAUUUUUCACAACACAACAAUUUUUUCAUUGGUGUUGACGCAAAUCAUAGCGAUUGGAGUCUUUGGAAUUAAAGAAUCACCAAUUGCAUCAAGUUUCACCUUUCCACUAGUUAUUUGCACUCUUCUAUUCAAUGAAUAUUGUAGGCAGCGAUUUUCCCCUGUUUUCCAGAAGGACGUUGUAGAGGUUCUUAUGGACAUGGAUAGACGUGAUGAACAGUCUGGGAGAAUGAGUGAGAUCUAUCAACAAUUACAUUCGGCAUAUUGUCAGAUCCCGAUAACUUCUCAUGAAUUCUGUGAAUCUGCACAGGAGCGACAUCGUAAUAAGAUCCAGGAUCCACAGGGCAUCAACCCAGGAACGGAACUCAGCGAAGCAAGUGAGACGUGGGCUGUUGUCAAUUUUGGAAAAGAAUCACCUACUACGAAAAAUUAAUUAAUUCAUUUUGUAUAUAAGCUACACCAAAUUCAGUUCAUGCAGUAAAACGAUCAUCUUUUAAAUGGGGCUUUGAAGAGCAGUUCUGAUAAGGCAUGUACAUGUUCAUGUUUCAUACAAAAGAUAGUAUUGGGACGUAUGGCCCUUUAUAGGAAAAUUCAGUGUUAGAUGAAUAGGAAUAGGAUUGAGAUUGCCAUGUUUAUUUAGAGUUUUACUUUCUUUUCUUCAGAGGAUGCGGAUGCUUGUAUUGCAUGUUAUGUACUUGGAGGAGGAAAAAGUAAUUUUGAUUUGUAUUUUCCGCCUAACAGUUUAACUUGCAUGUUCUCGUUACGAGCAUCACCACUGAUGUGCAAAGGGUUAAAUCUUUAAUUUUUUUAUUGUUCAGGUGGUUAGGUU
rnacentral:misc_RNA from 1 species